GAGCUUUCCGAAUGAGUCUUCGUUCUCCAAUUUGAAUUUCUUCUCAAAAACCUCUGUGAUCAACUCUUCAAGACUCCAAACCAUAAUACGAAAUUCGCCAACCUAUAAAAUCCUUAACAAUCUCCCCCUUUGGCGAUUUCGUGACAAAAUAUACCACAAAGUUCGUAUACAACCAAUAAGUCAUAGAAAGAAGAUCAUCGCAAUCACCAAACGAUAAUCUCCUGCAUGAUCAAUCCAAAAAAAUGAAUUACACUUUUACACCCUUAAUACAAACUCUAUGACUUAGACAUGGAGUCUUGAAGUCUUGAAUUAUUCCUGCAAAAACAUUCUCAAAGCAUAAUCAAGAUUCAA
rnacentral:lncRNA from 1 species